rnacentral:rRNA from 1 species
GUGCUUAACACAUGCAAGUCGAGCGGUAAGGCCCUUCGGGGUACACGAGCGGCGAACGGGUGAGUAACACGUGGGUGACCUGCCCUCAGCUCUGGGAUAAGCCUGGGAAACUGGGUCUAAUACCGGAUAUGACCUUCCAUCGCAUGGUGGGGGGUGGAAAGUUUUUCGGCUGGGGAUGGGCCCGCGGCCUAUCAGCUUGUUGGUGGGGUGAUGGCCUACCAAGGCGACGACGGGUAGCCGGCCUGAGAGGGCGACCGGCCACACUGGGACUGAGACACGGCCCAGACUCCUACGGGAGGCAGCAGUGGGGAAUAUUGCGCAAUGGGCGGAAGCCUGACGCAGCGACGCCGCGUGGGGGAUGACGGCCUUCGGGUUGUAAACCUCUUUCGACCGGGACGAAGCGUGAGUGACGGUACCGGUAGAAGAAGCACCGGCCAACUACGUGCCAGCAGCCGCGGUAAUACGUAGGGUGCGAGCGUUGUCCGGAAUUAUUGGGCGUAAAGAGCUCGUAGGCGGUGUGUCGCGUCGGUCGUGAAAACUUGGGGCUUAACUCUGAGCUUGCGGUCGAUACGGGCAUCACUUGAGUUCGGCAGGGGAGACUGGAAUUCCUGGUGUAGCGGUGAAAUGCGCAGAUAUCAGGAGGAACACCGGUGGCGAAGGCGGGUCUCUGGGCCGAUACUGACGCUGAGGAGCGAAAAGCGUGGGGGAGCGAACAGGAUUAGAUACCCUGGUUAGUCCCACGCCGUAAAAC